rnacentral:sRNA from 1 species
ACUUCCACGGGGGCCAGACAGGCGGAUGCUGUGCAAGCCGGAGCCGCCGGGAAGGUCCUGUUCUGUGCGGCCGACAGCACCGUGCCUGGAAAAGCCAUGCUAUUUGGGACCGUCCUGCUGGGCAAGCGGCCACUCUUCCACACUGAAAGGGAAACAGAAAGGAAGAAGCGCCCAGAGCAGAGAAACAGAUGUGGCCUCCACCCGAGAUUGGGGCUCAGGGAGGGAAGAGAGUAUCGCAUCAGGAUCAGUCUUCCGGCAGGCUCCAUCUCUCCUGGGAUGUGCUGGGAUACUCUAGUGACAGGGGAGAAGGGAAGUUCACAUGAGUGGUUCGUGGUGCUGGGGCCGUGCUGUCGCCACCUGUGAAGCCAGGGCUGGUGAGUGGGAGGGCUUUCCCCAGACAUCUUCUUCCAGAACCCUCUGGGGCUACGAAGCCACACGCCAGCCGCCCGAGCCCCCCCUGAGCUCUUCCCCUGCCGCCCGCUAUCCGCGUAAUUCAGUUACCACCUCCAGGAAAUCUCUCUGGUUUGGCUCCACAUAUUUUCAUUUCUGCAUGACUGGAAGAAAUUAAUUUUUCUCCCUACGCGAGGAUCUGGAGAUGCUGCCGGCAGGCUGGGUCACUAAUCCCCAAGAUCCCAGCCCUCAGGGCUGCACGGGGGAGGGCCGGGCCUCGCCGCUGCCGCCUCUGGGGUGGCAGGGAGGGUGUGAGGUGGGUGAGGCAUUUCCCUGCCAGCUUCUGGAACCAUCUUGGGGCUCUCCGCUGGCCUCCCCCUCCCCUGCUGCACCGUUAGCAGGUUGACUUUGGGGUUUUCUGAUUCAUCCUCAGCCUCCCGCAGCACCAGGGUGGAAGGAUGCUGGUUGAAUUAAGUGGAUCUGAAUUUCCUUCCCAGGCAGGGAGGAACCAGAAGCAACUUCAGCGUGCCCCUGUGCUGUGUGUGCCACGCGGGUGUUCAGACCCAGCAUGGAGGGAGCAGCAGGGCCUUGUUAGUGGCGCCACAGGUGAAGGCUCUGGCGUCUCCGUGGGGCUGCUCUCCUGGCCCGCACUUGCUGCACUGCCUGCCUGUGGCCUGUCUCUCCUGCUCACAGGGUCGUGGAGCCUUCCUGGGUGGGUCUUAGAGCCUACAACAGCGCUGGGGCUUACACGCACUGUUGGGUCCCUGUAACACCCACGAGGGCCGUGGAGCGCUCCCCGUCUCCGACGCCGGGAGAGGUACAGUCCACAGGUCAUGCAGGGAGCCAGUCUGAGGGCCUGCUGCAGCGAGUGUCUCCAGGCCCCUGUCCAGCCCCGCCCAGUCCCUGUCCAGCCCCACCCAGUCCCUGUCCAGCCCUGCCCGGGCGUUCCUUUGCCUGUGCCGUCGGUCCCCAUCCCCAGCCUUCCGGGCCACAUUCUUAGAGCACCUGGGCACCCCCAGGGGGCUGGGAGAUCUGGUGGCUGAGGGCUCAGUCGUGACUCAGGGUUAGCACUGUAGGUGCAAAAGCCCUCACCUGGACAGAGGCCCUGGGCCCCAUCUGGGGUCAGGGCACUGGUGGGAGAACUUGACCUCUGCCCUACCUGGGUCAUGGAGCCCCAAGGCCAGCCUCGUCCCAGCUGCUCUAGUCCUGCACCUCUGGCCAGCCCCACCUCUGCUUCCUGCCCUGCUGUGCAGGGGAGGGGGGUCGUUGUUGCUAAAGACCCUCCAGAAGCCACUGGAACAUUGCCCGGCUAUUAUCACAGACAUAGCAUCCACUGUUCGUAGAAAUCCACAUCCAGGCAACCGAUGUCACCUCCCAGGCUGGUCCCAGGCCCCUGGGGACGGGAAGGACCCAAACUCUACAAUUUGUCAAUGCCAGAGGGUGGCUUUGCCACCACUUCACUUACAGGACAAAAAGUGCCUGUCCUCCAGUGCUCAUUCCCUGGGCAAGUAUUGAUCGAACACCUACUCCAUACCAGGUGGGGGCAGAGUCACAUGCAGUGAGAGGCACCCAGGCCCUGCAUUGGAUCCUCACAGCAGCCCUGAGGGCACCGCUGCUGUCCCACUUUCCAGACGGGGAAGCUGAGGCCCACAGAGGUUCGCAGCUUGCAGCACAGGAGCCCCACGCGGGUGGGUACCACGGGGCUCUGCCUGCGACACAUCCAGGGUGGUCAGGCCCCUAGAACUUCCCACUGAGUUCUGACGCGGGAGGGCCAGCGUGGGGACGGCAGGGAGUGGGCCUGCAGAGUCCAGUGCACACUGUGGGCUGGGACCCGCUGCCUCGCAGGGGCAGGAGGGGGUGGAAACACAACUGCUGGGGUACUGGCUAGGGAGGUGCAGGCCGCUUGAGGGCAGCUCAGAGGGAUGCUCACGACAGCGUCACCAUCCUUGUUUCCAGGGUCUGGGUCAGGUUGGGUGGAUACCACGCUGUUCAUCCACCUCGUGGCUCCGUCUCUCUGGGAAGGCCUGCGUCAGUGAACCACACCCCAGAUCCUUUCCUGGGAGUUUUAUUCUCCACCCCCUGACUUUCCUGGGCAGAGUGAGAAGGCCUGGUUCUGCUUCUGCAGUUCCCCAGGCCGGGACCCUCCUUUCAGCGGAGCCCAGGCUGUGCUGCAGGAAACAGCCCACCGGGCAGGCCUGGGAGGGCUGCCUUAGCCAAGAGCAAAUGCAGGCAAGGGCUUUGCUUGUCUGGAAAAAAAAUUCCUGGAGUGGAAACCGCCCUUGUAGCAUCAGUGGAAAAGACUCAGGCGGAGACCUGGCAGUUGAGCUGGAAACUGACGAUGAGGAGAGUGAGAGAUAACUGCUCCCCAGUCCCCACUUCUGAGCUCACAGCUUGCCCCGAGGGUGGAAGCUGGGGACUCAGGACCCGCCGGGAUCCGGCUUUCUGCCUGUGCUGUGGCAAUGAGUUUCCUGUGGCAAUAAAACAGAAGUUCAG